CACGGUAAACGAUGGAUGCCCGCUGUCGGCGAUACACUGUCGGCGGCCAAGCGAAAGCGUUAAGCAUCCCACCUGGGGAGUACGCCGGCAACGGUGAAACUCAAAGGAAUUGACGGGGGCCCGCACAAGCGGAGGAACAUGUGGUUUAAUUCGAUGAUACGCGAGGAACCUUACCCGGGCUUGAACUGCAGGGGAACGAUCCAGAGAUGGUGAGGUCAGCAAUGACCCCUGUGGAGGUGCUGCAUGGUUGUCGUCAGCUCGUGCCGUGAGGUGUCGGCUUAAGUGCCAUAACGAGCGCAACCCCUGCCGUCAGUUGCCAUCAGGUUAUGCUGGGCACUCUGUCGGGACUGCCACCGUAAGGUGCGAGGAAGGUGGGGAUGACGUCAAAUCAGCACGGCCCUUACGUCCGGGGCUACACACGUGUUACAAUGGGUGGUACAGAGAGUCGGCCGUCUGCAAAUGCGGUCCAAUCAUGAAAUCCAUCCUCAGUUCGGAUUGGGGUCUGCAACCCGACC
rnacentral:rRNA from 1 species